CCCUUAGAUGUUCUGGGCCGCACGCGCGCUACAAUGAUGAAUUCAACGAGUUUAUAACCUUGGUUGAAAAGCCUGGGUAAUCUUUUGAACUUUCGUCGUGAUGGGGCUAGACCCUUGCGAUUAUUGGUCUCCAACGAGGAAUUCCUAGUAAACGCAAGUCAUCAGCUUGCAUUGAUUACGUCCCUGCCCUUUGUACACACCGCCCGUCGCACCUACCGAUUGAAUGGUCCGGUGAAAUCUUCGGAUUGAGACUUUGAUUUCUUCACGGAAAACGCUGUUUUAAAAAGUUGAUUAAACCUUACCAUUUAGAGGAAGGUGAAGUCGUAACA
rnacentral:rRNA from 1 species